rnacentral:rRNA from 1 species
GACGAGCGCUGGCGGCGUGCUUAACACAUGCAAGUCGAGCGGAAAGGCCCCUUGUGGGUACUCGAGCGGCGAACGGGUGAGUAACACGUGAGUAAUCUGCCCUUCACUUCAGGAUAGCUCCCGGAAACGGGGAUUAAUACUGGAUAUGACACAUUCGCGCAUGUGGGUGUGUGGAAAGUUUUUUCGGUGGGGGGUGUGCUCGCGGCCUAUCAGCGUGAUGGUGGGGUAAUGGCCUACCAUGGCUUCGACGGGUAGCCGGCCUGAGAGGGUGACCGGUCACACUGGGACUGAGACACGGCCCAGACUCCUACGGGAGGCAGCAGUGGGGAAUAUUGGACAAUGGGCGGAAGCCUGAUCCAGCAACGCCGCGUGAGGGAUGACGGCCUUCGGGUUGUAAACCUCUUUCAGCACAGACGAAGCGCAAGUGACGGUAUGUGCAGAAGAAGGACCGGCCAACUACGUGCCAGCCGCCGCGGUAAAAC